rnacentral:rRNA from 1 species
AUGACCUCGGAUCAGGUAGGGAUACCCGCUGAACUUAAGCAUAUCAUAGUCCGGAGGGAAAGUACUGGCCCUCAAAUCCUGAAGGACAUACCUGCCAAAACCCACCUAUUUUUGGAUGACCUCAGAUCAGUAGAUGCCAGUC